rfam:Ictidomys tridecemlineatus contig118832, whole genome shotgun sequence.
GAAGAUGUAGCUCAGUGGUAGAGCACUUGCCCAACAGCAUGAGCCCCUGGGUUUCAUCCCCAGCACUACCA